rnacentral:rRNA from 1 species
UAGAUACCCCACUAUGGAUUGCCUUAAAUCGUGACACUUCCCCAACCAAAGUGUCCGCCUGAGAACUACGAGCACGUACGCUUAAAACUCUAAGGACUUGGCGGUGCCCCAAACCCACCUAGAGGAGCCUGUUCUGUAAUCGAUAACCCACGCUACACCCGGCCGCUCUUUGCACGCUCAGCCUACAUACCGCCGUCGCCAGUCCACCUAUCUUGAAAGAACAACAGUGAACGCAAUAGCCCUAACCACGCUAAAAAGACAGGUCAAGGUAUAGCCAAUAGGGCGGAAGAAAUGGGCUACAUUUUCUAACUUAGAAAACUACGAAAAAGGGCAUGAAACUGCCCCCAGAAGGCGGAUUUAGCAGUAAAGUUGGAUCAUAGUGCCAUCUUUAAACCGACCCCGGGGCACGUACAUACCGCCCGUCACCCUCCUCGCAAGCUACUCGCACAAGUAAUUAACACUACUUUCUAGCCAAAGACAGGU